AUUGAACGCUGGCGGCAUGCCUUACACAUGCAAGUCGAACGGUAACGCGGGGCAACCUGGCGACGAGUGGCGAACGGGUGAGUAAUGUAUCGGAACGUGCCCAGUUGUGGGGGAUAACUGCUCGAAAGAGCAGCUAAUACCGCAUACGACCUGAGGGUGAAAGCGGGGGAUCGCAAGACCUCGCGCAAUUGGAGCGGCCGAUAUCAGAUUAGGUAGUUGGUGGGGUAAAGGCCUACCAAGCCUACGAUCUGUAGCUGGUCUGAGAGGACGACGAGCAACACUGGGACUGAGACACGGCCAAGUCUCCUACGGGAGGCGGCAGUGGGGAAUUUUGGACAAUGGGGGAAACCCUGAUCCAGCCAUGCCGCGUGCGGGAAGAAGGCCUUCGGGUUGUAAACCGCUUUUGUCAGGGAAGAAAUCCUUUGAACUAAUACUUCGGAGGGAUGACGGUACCUGAAGAAUAAGCACCGGCUAACUACGUGCCAGCCGCCGCCGUAA
rnacentral:rRNA from 1 species